rnacentral:rRNA from 1 species
GACAGAGGGUGCAAACGUUUGUUCGGAAUUACUGGGCGUAAAGCGCGUGUAGGCGGCUAAGUAAGUCGGGCGUGAAAUCCCACGGCUCAACCGUGGAAGUGCACUCGAAACUGCAUAGCUAGAGUCCUGGAGAGGAAGGUGGAAUGCUUGGUGUAGAGGUGAAAUUCGUAGAUAUCAAGCGGAACACCGGUGGCGAAGGCGGCCUUCUGGACAGUGACUGACGCUGAGACGCGAAAGCGUGGGGAGCAAACAGG